GGCACCUUCCAAACAGCAGCAGCUGAGGGUGCUGCAUUCUUCUCUGGUCCUGUCCUAGCUUGAAACUGGUUAUAUACUAUCAAGUUCCCCUCUGCUGGGUGAGAGAGACUUGUGGAUGGCACUGUGCUCUCACCUUUGGAGCGACCACCAAAUACUGAAGGAUCUGAAGAAGACUUCAGAGAAAAACAGGAGAGUGGAGAACUCACUGCAAAUGUGAGAACCUUUGAGUAGAACUCCAGUUUUCUUGAAAAUAGGUACCUUUCUUUGUCUUUAGCUCCAUCCCAAAAUAAUUUGAUUAGUAGACUAUUUCUUGUGAGUUCAUCAUCUUUGAACCUGCUGCAGGAAGUCCUGCUGGGUUCUGUCUGCUCAGAACCUGAGUUGGACUCACCUGCCUCUGAAUUCUGGCUAAUCCAAGUGCAGGGACUGAAGUAGCUCUUCUGGAGCAUGAUGAAAAAGACUCAGGAUGAAAUGGAAUCAUAGACUCUUCUGAGUUGGAAGGGACCCACAAGGAUCAUCAAGUCCAACACCUGGUUCCACACAAGACCACCCAAAUCUCAGAUCAUAUGGCUGGUCUCCAUCAUUUCUUCACCAGCUAUUCUGGAAAGACAAUGGUGGACCAGAAGGGGAAGGGGUGGAAGAAAUUUCUCUGGAGAGAGGAAGUUCCAGGAAGAAAUUUAUUUUUACUUCAGUUAUAGAACAAAUGUACUCAUCUUGAAAAUCAUCUCUACAAAAGUAAUUAAGUCUUUACCCUCUUCACUCUGUUUAAUACCAGAAGAGUGUUACCCUCUACCAAUGGUGUCUUAAGAUUUUUGUGGCAUGCUUCACUUAAAUAUGAGAGUUGAUUUUCUCAUUUUUGAAAUGACUUAAUUUAUUUUCAGGAUUAUCUUGCAUUCACUUUACCACAAAUAGCAAAGCUCCAGCUAAAGGAGGAAUUAAACCUCAAGAAGCUGAAGCUUCUGAUCUGAGAUCUUUUGAUCCUCUUUAAGAAUGGUGGAUGUAGAAGAAAUUACUCAUUAGAAAGUAAAGGGAAUUGUUCCCCUGUACUGCAAUACCUCACAAAGGUGUACCUUGUUGACAUACGCAAGUUCUUGUACAACAUAGGAUGCAAAGUGCUUCUACCAAGAUUUGUGGAAAUCCCUUUCCACAAAUAAAUUUAUCUGCACAUAAGUCCUUUGUGUUUUAGAGAUGUGAGUGUGUUCCAUUCUGUCUUCUUUUCGUGAGAAGCACCAAACUGACUGC
ensembl:lncRNA